rnacentral:ncRNA from 1 species
GACUAACGGGAAUGAAGUUCUCCCUUGGUUAUAACCUAAACCGCUUAUUAAGCUGAUGACUUCUG